rnacentral:tRNA from 1 species
GCGGUAUUAGUUAAGUGGUAGAACAAGUCGUUGCCAACGAUUAGACGGGAGUUCAAUUCUCCCAUACCGCA